rnacentral:ncRNA from 1 species
GUUUGGUCCCAACUUUAAACUCAACUACUACUCAACUUACACAUGCAAGUAUCCGCACACCCGUGAAAAUGCCCUCACCCCUCAUACAGGAAAAGGAGCCGGUAUCAGGCACAAAUAUAUUGCCCAUGACACCUAGCCACGCCACACCCCCAAGGGCCCUCAGCAGUGAUAGACAUUGCUCAUUAGCGCCAGCUUGACUCAGUUAGAGUAACUAGAGCCGGCCAAUUCGGUGCCAGCCGCCGCGGCUAUCCCGCUUGACUCAAGUUGACACUAUCGGCGUUAAGCGUGAUUAAAGUAAUACCCACGUAGAGUUAAACCCCAACCAAGUUGUUAUACACCUGUCUGUAAGAAACCCUCAAACGAAAGUUACUCUACCCCUAAACUUGAACCCACGACAAUUGAGACACAAACUGGGAUCAGAUACCCCACUAUGCUCAAUCGUAAAAUAUCUACUUACACUUUCAUCGCCCGGGAACUACGAGCCCCUUAAAACCCAAAGGACUUGACGGUGUCUCACCCACCUAGAGGAGCCUGUUCUAUAAUCGACACUCCACGAUAUACCUUACCAUCCCUAGCACACUCAGUUUGUAUACCUCCGUCGCAAGCUUACCAUGUGAACGUCACCAGUGAGCUAAAAGAUUUCUCCACCCACACGUCAGGUCAAGGUGCAACUAACGGAAUGGAUAGUAAUGGGCUACAAUUUCUAUGAUAGAACAUACGAAAACUAAAUGAAAUUCACCACAAAGGCGGAUUUAGAAGUAAAAAGGAAUCAAAAAAUUCUUUUUAACUAGGCCCUGGGACGCGUACACACUGCCCGUCACCCUCCUCAACCCCACAGAAGAGGCAAGUCGUAACAUGGUAAGUGUACUGGAAAGUGCACUUGGACAUCAAAAUGUAGCUUAACAAAAGCAUCCCACUUACACUGAGAUAGAUGUUGAUUAAUUUUAACCAUUUUGAGCCUAAACCUAAGCCCCCCCCCACUUCUGACAAACAAUAAAACAUUUUAUCAUUAAGUAACGGCGAUUAAAAAAUAAAUCGGAGCUAUAUAAAUAGUACCGCAAGGGAAAUAUGAAAUAAAAUGAAAACUCAAAGCAAACUACAGCAAAGAUUAAUUCUUGUACCUUUUGCAUCAUGGUCUAGCCAGUCUAACCAAGCAAAACGCACUUAAAGUUUGACAUCCCGAAACUAAGCGAGCUACUUUAAAACAGCUCACAGAGCCAACUCAUCCCUGUUGCAAAAGAGUGAGAAGAUUUUAAAGUAGAGGUGACACACCUACCGAGCCUAGAAAUAGCUGGUUAUUCAAAAGACGGAUUUAAAUCCGACUUUAAGUUUUUUUAGUCUUACUAAAUAAUUACUAAACUUAAAAGCCAUUCAAAUAAGGUACAGCCUAUUUGAACAAGGAUACAACCUAUAAUAUAGGGUAAUGUCUAUUAACAUGACUAAGUAGGCCUAAAAGCAGCCACCUUCUAAAAAGCGUCCAAGCUUCCCCACUAAAUAUUUUUAAUAACACCAUUAAUCCACAACCCCCAAACACUACUGAAUGAUUCCAUAACUAUUAUGGAAGACACCAUGCUAGAACUAGUAACAAGAAGAUGAACUUCUCCAAAAUGUAAACGUAGGCCAAUAAUAAACCCCUUACCGGCAUUUACCGCUGUAAUCUACAGUAUAUUCUAACAAGAAAAUUCUACUAAAUUUAAGCGUUAACCUUACACCAGGACAUUUCUGGAAAGAUUAAAAGAAGGGGAAGGAACUCGGCAAAUAACAGCCCCGCCUGUUUACCAAAAACAUCGCCUCUUGCUAAACAUAAGAGGUCCAGCCUGCCCAGUGACAAUAGUUAAACGGCCGCGGUACCCUAACCGUGCAAAGGUAGCACAAUCACUUGUUCUUUAAAUUAGGACUAGUAUGAACGGCCCCACGAGGGCUACCCUGUCUCCCCCCUCCAAUCAGUGAAACUGAUCUCCUCGUGAAGAAGCGAGGAUAUCCCCAUAAGACGAGAAGACCCCAUGGAACUUUAAACUAGUACCACCCCUCUCUACGAGACCUCAUGACUACUAGUCUUUCGGCUGGGGCGACCACGGAGAAAAAUAAAACCCCCGAGAUGAAAGGAAUUAUCCUUAUCCCAGAACUACUACUCCAAGAAUCAAAAAUGACACCUUGACCCAAUACUUGACCAACGAACCAAGCUACCCUGGGGAUAACAGCGCAAUCCAUUUCAAGAGACCCUAUCGACAAAUGGGC